rnacentral:rRNA from 1 species
GAUGAACGCUGGCGGCGUGCUUAACACAUGCAAGUCGAACGAUGAAGCCCAGCUUGCUGGGUGUAUUAGUGGCGAACGGGUGAGUAACACGUGAGUAACCUGCCCUUAACUCUGGGAUAAGCCUGGGAAACUGGGUCUAAUACCGGAUAGGAGCGUCCACCGCAUGGUGGGUGUUGGAAAGAUUUAUCGGUUUUGGAUGGACUCGCGGCCUAUCAGCUUGUUGGUGAGGUAAUGGCUCACCAAGGCGACGACGGGUAGCCGGCCUGAGAGGGUGACCGGCCACACUGGGACUGAGAAACGGCCCAGACUCCUACGGGAGGCAGCAGUGGGGAAUAUUGCACAAUGGGCGCAAGCCUGAUGCAGCGACGCCGCGUGAGGGAUGACGGCCUUCGGGUUGUAAACCGCUUUCAGUAGGGAAGAAGCGAAAGUGACGGUACCUGCAGAAGAAGCACCGGCUAACUACGUG